UACGAGGGGUGCAAGCGUUACUCGGAAUUACUGGGCGUAAAGCGUGCGUAGGUGGUGAGUUAAGUCUGAUGUGAAAUCCCCGGGCUCAACCUGGGAAUGGCAUUGGAUACUGGCUCGCUCGAGUGCGGUAGAGGGUGGUGGAAUUCCCGGUGUAGCAGUGAAAUGCGUAGAGAUCGGGAGGAACAUCUGUGGCGAAGGCGGCCACCUGGACCAGCACUGACACUGAGGCACGAAAGCGUGGGGAGCAAACAGG
rnacentral:rRNA from 1 species